UGCAAUGCUUUAUGGCCUGGCUUCUAUAAAUAGAUUUAGCCCUGUCGUUAUACUUGAGAAGCCGUCAAUUGUCGCGAAUCGAGUAAUCCCUCUUUGUGUUCUUCUUCGACUCGGGCCAAACCCUAGCGAUAUCUCAGCCAUGUCGUCCAAGCAAGGAGGGAAGGCAAAGCCUCUGAAGCAACCCAAGGUUGAUAAGAAAGACUACGACGAGGUUGAUAUGGCCAAUAUGCAAAAGAAGAAGGAUGAGGAAAAGGCGCUCAAGGAGCUUAGAGCAAAGGCUCAACAGAAGGGGACCUUUGGAGGUGCUGGGCUCAAGAAGAGUGGGAAGAAAUGAGGGGUUCCCACUUCCCACACAAAUUCAUGGAGGUAGAUUUACUUCACGACCUGAAAUUGCAGACAUUUAAUGGCUUUUGAAUCAGUUGAUUGUCCUUGUGUGUUUUAUGUAAAACCCUGAAAAGAAGAUGAUAUGCUGUUGAAUGAUUAUAUAGAAGUUGAAUGCUUCUCAAUAUCCUAAACUUUCUUUAGCUAAAUAUUCUUAACUUUCCUCU